GCUCACUUCAAUUUCAUUACAUUCUCACUUAAAAUUCACUUGACCCGUCACUUAAUUGUCAAAUUCACUUGACCGGUCACUUAAAAUUGAAAUGAAUGUACAGGUAGCGAAUGACAGCCAUGUUGUGAAAGAUUGUUUUUAUUAUGGAAACAUAACAGAAUUGUGUAUGAGCUGAGCCCGAGAAAAAUAUCCUGUGAGGCGGAUAAUACGUCGUAGUGCAACUAUUCAUCCGAAUGAGGGGCCAAAAUAUGAAUCGGCAGAAGUUGUAACUUCUACAGAGCAACUAUGAAUAAAUUGGCCAUGGUGGGAAAUCUUUGUUGGAUGUUUCGGAAAUGCUUCCCGAUGGUAUUUUUAUUCUGAAAUUUUCAAGAACAGUGCAAAUAAAAGUAA